CCGUGAACCUUUACUAUAGCUUGACACUGAACAUUGAGCCUUGAUGUGUAGGAUAGGUGGGAGGCUUUGAAGUGUGGACGCCAGUCUGCAUGGAGCCGACCUUGAAAUACCACCCUUUAAUGUUUGAUGUUCUAACGUGGACCCGUGAUCCGGGUUGCGGACAGUGUCUGGUGGGUAGUUUGACUGGGGCGGUCUCCUCCUAAAGAGUAACGGAGGAGCACGAAGGUUGGCUAAUCCUGGUCGGACAUCAGGAGGUUAGUGCAAUGGCAUAAGCCAGCUUGACUGCGAGCGUGACGGCGCGAGCAGGUGCGAAAGCAGGUCAUAGUGAUCCGGUGGUUCUGAAUGGAAGGGCCAUCGCUCAACGGAUAAAAGGUACUCCGGGGAUAACAGGCUGAUACCGCCCAAGAGUUCAUAUCGACGGCGGUGUUUGGCACCUCGAUGUCGGCUCAUCACAUCCUGGGGCUGAAGUAGGUCCCAAGGGUAUGGCUGUUCGCCAUUUAAAGUGGUACGCGAGCUGGGUUUAGAACGUCGUGAGACAGUUCGGUCCCUAUCUGCCGUGGGCGCUGGAGAACUGAGGGGGGCUGCUCCUAGUACGAGAGGACCGGAGUGGACGCAUCACUGGUGUUCGGGUUGUCAUGCCAAUGGCACUGCCCGGUAGCUAAAUGCGGAAGAGAUAAGUGCUGAAAGCAUCUAAGCACGAAACUUGCCCCGAGAUGAGUUCUCCCUGACUCCUUGAGAGUCCUGAAGGAACGUUGAAGACGACGACGUUGAUAGGCCGGGUGUGUAAGCGCAGCGAUGCGUUGAGCUAACCGGUACUAAUGAACCGUGAGG
rnacentral:rRNA from 1 species